rnacentral:rRNA from 1 species
CCUACGGGGGGCUGCAGUGGGGAAUAUUGGACAAUGGGGGCAACCCUGAUCCAGCAAUUCUGUGUGCACGAAGAAGGUUUUCGGAUCGUAAAGUGCUUUCAGCAGGGAGGAAGGAAGUGACUGUACCUGCAGAAGAAGCGACGGCUAAAUACGUGCCAGCAGCCGCGGUAAUACGUAUGUCGCGAGCGUUAUCCGGAAUUAUUGGGCAUAAAGGGCAUCUAGGCGGCCGGGUAAGUCCGGGGUGAAAACUGCUGGCUCAACCAGCAGCCUGCCUUGGAAACUACCCGGCUUGAGUGCUGGAGAGGUGGACGGAACUGCACGAGUAGAGGUGAAAUUCGUAGAUAUGUGCAGGAAUGCCGAUGAUGAAGAUAGUUCACUGGACGGCAACUGACGCUGAAGUGCGAAAGCUAGGGGAGCGAACAGGAUUAGAUACCCGGGUAGUC